GGCCAGAAAGGGGUGUAGGACCUGAACUGGGUAUGCAUGGCAAAAAAACUGGCGCAUGGGCCCUCAUGUCAAAUCCCAAACAAAAUUAAUGUAUAUUGGGGGAGGUGCAUUGGCCAAACGCAAUGUAUACUCAUCAAUUUGGCAUAAGGCCUAUAACGAGGCCCAAAACAGAAUAUGCACUCAAAACACACAUGGAAUGGAUAAUGGUCAAAGUCAAAUGUUGAACAAUCCAUGAGUCAGCACCUUGAGCCAUAUGAAUGGGAGCUUGCAACAGAUAAGUGUACAUGUAAUACAUCAAGACAACUCAGUACAAUUGAAUUUAAAUGCCUUUCCCUUUAUUUCUCUUACUCACCACCUCCGUCUCCGCCGCGCCUGAGGUUCCCUCAGCGGCGGAGAUUUCUAGAAACUAAAAACAAGGCCACCAUUAGCUUCAUCUUUUUAGCUUAAACAUGAAACACCCUUGAUUAUCAUUGAAAUUGAACCCUUCUCUUUAAUCGAACAAAACUAAUGGAAGAACCCUAGAUUCGAAAUCUGGAAUUAAAUGGAUACCAGGUGGAAUUGGAGGCCAAAAGAUCGGGGCUCUGGUUCCCUGAGCUCUAAGCUACAGACUGGUAACAAGUUCGAAGUGAAAUGAAGAAAAAGAUCAAGCAACCUACCACAAAAGAUGAAGCUGAAGAUGGCGAUGACGGUAGAAUUCAAGUUCGUCAAUUCUUCUUUCCUUCUGCUCUUUUCCUUUCCUCUUCUUCUUCUACGUGUGAUGUGUUUCUUGUUGUGCAUGAGAGUGGUUUAACUCUUAUUGUUUCAGAGCUUCAAUGUGAGGCUCUGAGCAACAAUGGAGGAGAUCUCUAAAGUGAGGUUUGAGAGAGAGAAAUGAAUGAAAAAAGAGUAUGAUUAUGUGAUCUUUGUGCAGAAUGAACAUGUAACUAAAAUUGGUGAUGAAGGAAGGAAUUUAUAGAGAUUUGGAACUAAAUUAUGUUAGGCUCAAUUAGAUAUCUAUAGUGAAAGUUAGCUAGAAGUUAUGUUGCUGUUAAAUUUUCCUGUUAAGAGUUAGUUAGAGCUUGGUGAAAUCCAAUUUUGUAGUCAUAACUUACAAUUUAAAAUGUUAAGUUAUGUUCAGUUAGACGUUAAUAGGUUAGUUGUUAAUUGUGAAUGAACUAUUGUGCUUCUGUUAGGUUAAUAGUUAAUACAAUCAUGUAGGAAGAUUAGUUAACUGUGAAUUUGAAGUUAAUUUGGAAAUGAAUUUGUUAUCAAUUUGGAGUUAAUUUGAAAUUAAUUUGUUAGACUAUGAUUCAUUAGUUGCAUCUUGAUUUCAUUUGCUUUUCUCAAUUCUACUUCAGAGUUAUAUUUCAAUGUAUUAGUGUUAAAACGAAAUUGAGUUGUCAAUGGCCCUGUAUUCAUUUCCUGUUAAAAAUGAUUUGUGAAGUACAAAGCUUGAAAUGGGGCAUUGCUAUUUCAGUCAGCUGCUAACUAGAACCAGUCUUGUUAAUUGGUGUUUCAAAAACUCGAUUAUUGCAACUGUUAGGUUAUGUUAAUUCGCUUAGGGUAUCAGUCACGACAGCUGGCUCAAAAAAAGAUCCCCAAAGCAACAAAGAAGCAGGUUCUCCCACUUCCAAAGACAUCUGUCACUGCCAUGAAGUCGGACGAGAUAUACUAGAACACGUUGCACGAUCGAACAUACAACAAAGUCGCCACCAAACUUUAUUUAUCCUAAAAGAGGGAAGGGGAAAUAUAUAUAAAACCUAAGGGAAACAGAGAAAUGGGUAAGGAAGUUGAUUAUGCAAGGGGAAGGUAUUAUCACCCCUCACAUCCAUGGUACUCCAUGGUAACCAUUUUGAAUGCUCUUGCUUGGAUGAGUGUUGCUAUCUUCAUGUGUCUGCAAAAUAGAAAAUGGGUUAGAGAGAGAGUUCUCGAGGAGGAUUAGGGCCCUCAUGCCUACAUAUUCUCAUAGUGCAAUGAGAAAGUCAGAGCCUCGUAGUUCGUGGAACUGGAGAGAAAGAAAGAAGAGUUAUCUCUAAGGAUUCGUAUCCUCGUGCCUAUGUAUCCUCAUAGUGCAAUGAGGAAGUCAGAGCUCCGUAGUUCAAAGGACUAAGACUGAAAGAGAGAAUGAUUGAGGGGUGUUUAAACCGGAAGGAAAUCUUACCAAAACGCAGGGGCUAAUAUGGUGUCAAAACAAAAAGGGGAGGUAUAUAACCAUAAAUGUGUCAACCCAAAAAUCAGAAAGAUGAAGGUGUAUAACAAACGAAAGUGUCAACCUGAAUUGUGGUGUCAAAACCAAGAGAAGGGGGUUAACCAUAAAGGCGUGUCCUUGAAUUGUGGUGUCAAAAACCAAGAGAAAGACUUACCAAAGCACGGGUACUGACAUGGUAAGUAAAGAAGGCAUGGACUUGUCAAAGCAUGAGGACUGACAUGACAAGGAUCUUACCAAAGCACUAAGACUUAUAUGGUAAGGGAAAUUAUGUUUAAACCAAGAAGGGAGGUGUAUGACCACUGAGGGUGUCAACCUGAAUUAUGGUGUUUAAAUCAAAGAAAAGGAAGGGGAUUAACCAUUGAGGUGUAUCCCAAAGAGGAAAUUGCAAUGGUGUUUAAACCAAAAGGAUCUGAAAAGAGGAGCCAUAGGGCUAGUUGCAGACUUGAAAGUGAAUUGACUGGAAUUUCACUAAAAUAUUUGAAUAAGGGUGAAUACUCAUUGCUUAAGGCUCAUGGCAUGCAAUCCUUGUCAAUGUCUGACAUGUUGUUGAAGCAGGUUCUUAGAGAUGGACUGUGGGGAUGAGGCAGAUGGUUGAUGCCUGACUGAUGCUUGAGGUCUUGUACUUGAUGAGAGGCUGAAGCUCCAAAGUGAUAGAGAUAAGUCAUAUCAAGUGACCAAGACACUUAUGGUCACUUGACAAAGACAAAGGGGAUAUGAAAAUUCAAAGGGAUCUAGUUUAUCAAACAUAGUUUGAUCAAGCUAAAUCAAGGGGAUGAGAAGAAUAGAACAUGCAAUGCAUGAUCAUACAAAUACUAGCCUAGGGUCUCAUUGUUAGGUAGCCCAAGAGAAAACCAUGUGGGUGCAAAGUGUACUGAGUCUAGUCUCAUUGAUAGUAGCCUAAGAGAAAGUCAUGUGGUUGCAAGUGUGCUAACCUAAAUAGGUGAAUGUGACAAGUAGAGGCAUAAGGCAAAUGAAUCAUAAACAAUAUGACAAGGCCAUAAGUUCAACAGUUCAACAAUAAGACCAAGCCAAAAGGGCCAAGGUCAUUAAGUCCCAAAUUACUCCAGAUAAAGCAAAGGUCUAAGGUCAUAAGUCCAAAGUCCAAAGUCCAAAUUGAGGGCAUCAUCACUCCAAGUCAAACUUAGGUCUUAAGGAUCAAGUCAGUUCAUUUUAUCAUGUUUUGAUUCAUUGAUAUUGUCAAGCAUAUCAAAC
rnacentral:lncRNA from 1 species